AUGCGCACAGCUCGGGCGCGCAGUCCGGGGUUAGGCAGGCUGCAGUGGAGGAGGGUACGCCGUUCCAUUGGCGUGGUACUGUCGGCGGCCCUUCAGAGGAGAUGCUGCCCCACGGAACGCCUGGCAAGUGCUGGCGAAGCGGCAUGGGCGUCCCACUCCGUUCCUCAACCAAUUUCCUCACAAUCGCGAGCCGAAGUGUGGCGCUUUGGCAGUUUCGCAAGGUCUUUUGUCAGGAGAUGAGUUACUGAGGAUUGGGGGUCUUUGGAGCUCUUGGACCUGAAGAACGAUUAAGUUUUUCUCCCUUCAGAGAGCCAAGAGAUGGGGUCUUGCUGUGUUGCCCAGGGUGGAGUGCAGUGGCUAUUCACAGGUGUGAUCAUAGCUACUAUAGCCUCAAACCCUGGGUUCAAGUGAGUCCUUUGAACUAGAACAUUGGCCUUUUCUGGUUCUGCAGAAGCUUCCAGCCUUCAGAUUUGAACUGGGACACUGGCUCUGCAGAUUUUGGACUUGCCAGCCUUCAUAAUUGUAACCUACACUCCUGUCAUUUGUGGAAUGAUUGCUGGAGCCAGAGGCCAGGAAGAAGUUCAUGAGCCUGAGAGAAAAAGCAAGGAUUUCCAGUUCUACCCUCUUGGACUUGACCCUCUGCAGGCUCUCCACAUGCUCCGUCAGCUCGGCCAUGGAGUCCACGUGCUUCUUGCG
rnacentral:lncRNA from 1 species